UGGUAACUGGAGGAAAAAACAGACAGAAUUGAGGAGGACAAAUUUUACUUUCGCUAUGAUAAAACCGCCAACGCCAAACGCGAUAGCUGAGUCAACUAAUCGUCUCCAAAGAAAGCGUUAUUCCACAACGGAGCAGUUAGCUCUAUGACCCUAUGUGUCGAGGUCUCCAAAAAAGCAUUAACGCAUAAUGUUUCUGGACGUCUGGUUUUUUGCUUAGGUAUACCGUCUCAAAGUGCAAAGGGUACUAGCCAGAAGCUCUGGGAAGGCUCAACUUUCAUGGCUCGUAAUGGCGAGAAGGAGUCGAAUUGCUUUGAGAUACUUAAAGUAAGCGAUCUGCGAUCUCAUGGCCAACAUCUCUAUCGCGCUCUUUUAAAGACGGAUUAGCGAAAAGCGUCGCAUAGCAUUGACUUACUAGGAAGGCAAUAGGAUGCGGACACGGCUACUGGUGAAUCUUUCGAAAGCUAGACUAGACUAUUGUUGAGCGUCCUACCGCACGCCCGACAGCGACAGUCGUACCUCCAUAUACGUACAGAUUGUUAUACUGACGUAGUGCGUUGUCAUUGUUCCUGUCAAUGUCGACGUUGUUACCCAUCAGCAUUGGGACGUAGACAAGGAACAGAUACUUGGCAAUGCAUAACAGCUGUGCUACAAAUGCGAUGAAAAUCUAUUUUUCGUAAGCCCACAGCGAAGUUAUCCACGACCAUUUACAAGUCUACUGCUAUUAAGUGGGUAUACGUACCUGCCCCACGUCAGCGCUGUUGUUAAUAGAUG